CAUUGUAGUAUAUGCUACAAAUUUAAAACCUGGGACAACCCCAUGAAGGGAUCCUACUCACACACGAACAUACAUUUGGAGGACCACCUAUUGUUCAACCAUCACUGGUUUUCUACGAAGAAGUAUUUGUAUAGAUACUUUCUUUAUAAAAGAUAACAUCUGGUUCGACUUUUUUGCUCUCUGUAUAUCCAAAUCUCAUUGGUGCUGAUAAAUUGAAGGUGACAAUCCAUAAGGCUAACACUAGCAGCUAUUGCAUAAGGUUUUGAACUCUUUGAAGGCUAUGUCCGAACAAUGAUCAUGGUGAAUGUGUUGGAUAUUCGUGUUGUCUUCUUAAAAGCUUUAUUGACACACAAAGUUGGAUCGACUUGCGCGAGAGUGUGGGUAGAAUUGACAGAACAGAAUCAUUCAGAGUUGUUACAUCCAACUCGGGCGUAACAGUCUUUGCACUGAUUCUGCUUACUCAUCACCAAGUCAUCAUAGAUUUUACAGUGGUUGUGAAUGCCCUUGAGGGUCUAGCAUAUAACCUUCUCCUCAUAGUGUUCGUAGACGAAAGCGUCGCCGCUGCCAUGCUGCUUUGUUGGGAAAAUACAUCAAUGAGAAUGACCAGUGAUGGGGGACACUCAUCCCUUCGUAAGUUUUACGCACGCCAUAACGAGUUGGUUGACCGUUAUGGAAUAAGCGUUUCACAGAUGAUAUCGGAUAUGUUCCUUACGUCGUAACUAUUAUCCCCUUCCCUUUCAUGAAUGUGACCUACCGAAUUAGACUAUUUACCGGAUUUGUUAUAACAUGAGCAACAAGACGGGUGCCACAUGUGGAGCAGGAUCUGCUUACCCUUCCGGAGCACCUGAGAUCACCCCUCGUUUUUGGUUGGGUUCGUGUUGCUUAUUCUUUAGUUU
rnacentral:lncRNA from 1 species